UUUUUUUUUGCCUUUUCUUUCCCUUCAUUAUUCUCUCAGCCAAAAGCCGCCUUCGACCCUUUUGAUUUGAUGUAGCAAAGAGUGUGUGUCCAGAUUAUCUGAAAUUGACACUGAAGAAGAUGCCGGGCUUUGCCCUGCGCACCUGUUUCUGAGCCCCCUUCCUUGGGACCCUCACCAGAAACUCUCUCCACCCUUCCGACUCAGGUGCAUUUAAAGUAAACAGUUCGUUUGGACAGUGCCCUCCACGCUGCCCACAGAACCCCAAUUCGGCCAAC